rnacentral:tRNA from 1 species
CUCCGCGUAGCUCAGGGGAUAGAGCGGCCGCCUCCUAAGCGGCAGGUCGUUGGUUCGAUUCCAAUCGUGGAGACCA